UUAGGAUAUAUGGUUACUAUUUGCUACAGUGUCAAGCUGCAAUAGCUUUGAUAAAUCACACUUGAAAAGAGUUUGAUGAUUUAUCCUUGCCCUGUAGUAGAGCUGGGAAUCAACGCUGAAUAAAAAGUUGGCACUGGGCCAAGAUGAGGUAUCCUUUCUGGGAGGGAUUAGAGCUGUUGCUCACAUUCACUCUUGGAUGUUGCCUCUGUAGAUAGGCUAUAAAUAGGACAGGAGGUUGACAUGAAUUCAGCAAAGCCUCACCCCUGGGAGUCUGUAACUUUUUUUUCAGGACUGGACCCAAAAGGAGAGCCAGUGGUGUGGUCAGCAAGUGGUUGGACAGCCCGAAUCAUCCAGCAUGAGAUGGAUCACUUGCAUGGAUGCUUGUUCAUCGACAAGAUGGACAGUGGGACAUUUACCAAUCUUCACUGGAUGGAGGUGAAUGACUGAAGCUCUUCUUGAAUUGGAAUCUGGAAACCCAGCAUCCAGGCCAAGGUGGUCACAUCUUGUGCUUCAGCUGGGAACUGGCUCCAGUCUGACAGUAAACAGUGGACUGACUGCUGGUGUGUGCUGGACUGAGAUAAGUGAUAGAAAUUCUUGCCCUAAAAUCAGAUCUGACGGAAUGAUUACAGCACGAGUACAGAUAGCCCCUUGAAGGAGGCGCAGCUACUUCCUCACAGUUUCCCACGGAGAGAAGUGGGCAGGUAAACAUUCUCGGUGCAAAUGACUUCGUGAGACAACACAUUCUACCCCCACAGCCAAUGCUUGAUAAGAAGGUAGUCCAGAUAUCUGAAAGUUCUGUUUUGUUUUUUGGGACAGGGUUUCUCUGUGUAACCUUUGCUGUCCUAGAACUCACUGUGUAGACCAGGUUGGCCUUGAACUCAAAAGAUUUAACUGCCUCUGC
rnacentral:lncRNA from 1 species